rnacentral:rRNA from 1 species
AAGACCUUGCGCUUUUAGAGCGGCCGAUGCCUGAUUAGCUAGUUGGUAAGGUAAUGGCUUACCAAGGCAACGAUCAGUAGCUGGUCUGAGAGGACGACCAGCCACACUGGGACUGAGACACGGCCCAGACUCCUACGGGAGGCAGCAGUGGGGAAUUUUGGACAAUGGGCGAAAGCCUGAUCCAGCCAUGCCGCGUGAGUGAAGAAGGCCUUCGGGUUGUAAAGCUCUUUCGGUCGGGAAGAAAUAGUUGUGGCUAAUAUCCACAAUGAAUGACGGUACCGACAUAAGAAGCACCGGCUAACUACGUGCCAGCAGCCGCGGUAAUACGUAGGGUGCAAGCGUUAAUCGNAAUUAUUGGGCGUAAAGGGUGCGCAGGCGGUUGUAUAAGUCAGAUAUAAAAUCCCUGGGGNUAACCUAANAAAU